rnacentral:rRNA from 1 species
AUUGAACGCUGGCGGCAGGCCUAACACAUGCAAGUCGAGCGGUAGAGAGGUGCUUGCAUCUCUUGAGAGCGGCGGACGGGUGAGUAAUGCCUAGGAAUCUGCCUAGUGGUGGGGGAUAACGUUCGGAAACGGACGCUAAUACCGCAUACGUCCUACGGGAGAAAGCGGGGGAUCUUCGGACCUCGCGCCAUUAGAUGAGCCUAGGUCGGAUUAGCUAGUUGGUGAGGUAAUGGCUCACCAAGGCGACGAUCCGUAACUGGUCUGAGAGGAUGAUCAGACACACUGGAACUGAGACACGGACCAGACUCCUACGGGAGGCAGCAGUGGGGAAUUUUGGGCAAUGGGCGCAAGCCUGAUCCAGCAAUGCCGCGUGCAGGAUGACGGUCCUAUGGAUUGUAAACUGCUUUUGUACAGGAAGAAACACUACUUCGUGAAGUAGCUUGACGGUACUGUAAGAAUAAGGAUCGGCUAACUCCGU